rnacentral:rRNA from 1 species
UACCAGCACCCCCGAGUGGUCGGGACGUUUAUUGGCCUAAAGCAUCCGUAGCCGGUUCUACAAGUCUUCCGUUAAAUCCAGCUGCUUAACAGAUGGGCUGCGGAAGAUACUAUGGAGCUAGGAGGCGGGAGAGGCAAGCGGUACUCGAUGGGUAGGGGUAAAAUCCGUUGAUCCAUUGAAGACCACCAGUGGCGAAGGCGGCUGCCAGAACGCGCUCGACGGUGAGGGAUGAAAGCUGGGGGG